rnacentral:rRNA from 1 species
GACGAACGCUGGCGGCGUGCCUAAUACAUGCAAGUAGAACGCAGUUGAGAACGGGUGAGUAACGCGUAGGUACCUGCCUCAUAGCGGGGAAUAACUAUUGGAAACGAUAGCUAAUACCGCAUACUGUGAGAUGGACCUGCGGGUGAUUAGCUAGUUGGGGAGGUAAAGGCUGACCAAGGCGACGAUACAUAGCCGGCCUGAGAGGGUGGUCGGCCAAACCUGGACUGGGUCACGGGCCCAGCUCCCUCGGGAGGCAGGAGGAGGGAAUCUUCGGGAAAGGACGGAAAUCUGACCGAGCAAAGCCGCGUGGGUGAAGAAGGUUUUCGGAUCGUAAAGCGCUGGUGUUUGAGUAGCGGUAACUAACCAGAAAGGGACGGCUAACUACGUGCCAGCAGCCGCGGUAAUUC